AGCGAACGCUGGCGGCAGGCCUAACACAUGCAAGUCGAACGAACCUUUCGGGGUUAGUGGCGGACGGGUGAGUAACACGUGGGAACGUGCCUUUAGGUUCGGAAUAACUCAGGGAAACUUGUGCUAAUACCGAAUGUGCUCUUCGGGGGAAAGAUUUAUCGCCUUUAGAGCGGCCCGCGUCUGAUUAGCUAGUUGGUUGAGGUAAUGGCUCACCAAGGCUACGAUCAGUAGCUGGUCUGAGAGGAUGAUCAGCCACAUUGGGACUGAGACACGGCCGAGAAUACUACGGGAGGCAGCAGUGGGGAAUCUUGCGCAAUGGGCGAAAGGAUGAAGCAGCCAUGCCGCGUGAAUGAUGAAGGUCUUAGGAUUGUAAAAUUCUUUCACCGGGGACGAUAAUGACGGUACCCGGAGAAGAAGCCCCGGCUAACUUCGUG
rnacentral:rRNA from 1 species